UACGUAGGGGGCUAGCGUUGUCCGGAAUCAUUGGGCGUAAAGCGCGUGUAGGCGGUCCGGUAAGUCCGCUGUGAAAGUCGGGGGCUCAACCCUCGAAUGCCGGUGGAUACUGUCGGGCUAGAGUGCGGAAGAGGCGAGUGGAAUUCCCUGGUGUAGCGGUGAAAUGCGCAGGAUAUCAGGAGGAACACCGAUUGGCGAAGGCAGCUCGCUGGGACGUAACUGACGCUGAGACGCGAAAGCGUGGGGAGCAAACAGG
rnacentral:rRNA from 1 species